GGCGGCUGGUGUAAUGGCUAACACAUCAGUCCGGUCUACUGAAGAUGCUGGUUCGCUCCCAGCCGCCG